CACUCGCCGAGGCCGGGGACGUGAUGAUGACAGCCCCGGCUCUCCGCCCACCGGGCUCGGCUCGCCCGGCUCACGGGUAUUCUGGGAUCAGCAGCGGUGUGCCCGAGCCUGGGUUCAGGAAGUGUUUUUAUGGGCAUUUAAUCCUUCUUGCGAGCCCAGCUGUGGGGAGGGGGCAGGUCCUGUGCAAGAUAAAUGCAAAAAUGUCCUCUGGCCCUGUGGUAAGGACACAACAGUGAACAUAGAGGCUGAUGGAGCAUGGUGAGGACAAAAGGGUCAUUAGGGCCCUAUAGGCCAUGGCCUCUCAAAGUAAACUACAAGUUUGGAACAAAGACCACUUUUCUAGAAGAAAAGAACCGACCCCUUGCCCUGCUGGUGUGGAUCAGUGGAUUGAGCAUUAAUGCAUGCACCAGGAAGUCGCCUGUUUAAUUCCUGGU